UCAAAAACAUGGCUUAUUGAAUAUAAUUUUAAGUCUAGCCUGCCCCCUGAAUUUUAAAUGGCCGCGGUAUUUUGACCGUGCUAAGGUAGCAUAAUCAUUAGUUUCUUAAUUAGAAGCUGGAAUGAAUGGUUGGAUGAAAAAAAUUCUGUCUCUGUUUAAUUUUAUUUAGAAUUUUAUUUUUUAGUAAAAAAGCUAAAAUUAUUUUGAAAGACGAGAAGACCCUAUAGAGUUUAAUAUAAUUAUUUUAUUAAUAUUUAUUAGAAUAUAAAUUUUUAAUUUUAUAAUAUAUUUAAUUGGGGUGAUUGAAAAAUUAAAUAAACUUUUUUUUAUUUUUAUACAUUUAUUUAUGAAUUAUUGAUCCAUUAUUUAUGAUUAUAAGAUUAAAUUACCUUAGGGAUAACAGCGUAAUGUUUUCAGAGAGUUCUUAUCGAAGAAAAAGAUUGCGACCUCGAUGUUGGAUUAAAAUGAAUAAUUGGUGUAGAAGCUAAUAUUAUUAGGUCUGUUCGACCUUUAAAAUUUUACAUGAUCUGA
rnacentral:rRNA from 1 species